rnacentral:rRNA from 1 species
GAUGAACGCUGGCGGCGUGCUUAAUACAUGCAAGUCGAGCGAACAGAUGAGGAGCUUGCUCCUCUGACGUUAGCGGCGGACGGGAGAGACACACGUGGAUAACCUACCUAUAAGACUGGGAUAACUUCGGGAAACCGGAGCUAAUACCGGAUAAUCUAUUGAACCGCAUGGUUCAAUGGUGAAAGUCGGUGUUGCUGGCACUAAUAGCUGCAUAUGCGCCGGAUUAGCUAGUUGGUAAGGUAACGGCUUUCCACGGCAACGAUGCGUAGCCGACCUGAGAGGGGGAUCGGCCACACUGGAACGGAGACACGGUCCAGACUCCUACGGGAGGCAGCAGUAGGGAAUCUUACGCAAUGGGCGAAAGCCUGACGGAGCAACGCCGCGUGAGUGAUGAAGGUCUUCGGAUCGUAAAACUCUGUUAUGAGUGAAGAACAAAUGUGUAAUGAACUAUGCACGGCUUGACGGUACCGAAUCAGAAAGCCACGGCUAACUACGUG